AACCCUUGUCCUUAGUUACCAGCACGUUAUGGCGGGCACUCUAAGGAGACUGCCGGUGACAAACCGGAGGAAGGUGGGGAUGACGUCAAGUCAUCAUGGCCCUUACGGCCUGGGCUACACACGUGCUACAAUGGUCGGUACAAAGGGUUGCCAAGCCGCGAGGUGGAGCUAAUCCCAUAAAACCGAUCGUAGUCCGGAUCGCAGUCUGCAACUCGACUGCGUGAAGUCGGAAUCGCUAGUAAUCGUGAAUCAGAAUGUCACGGUGAAUACGUUCCCGGGCCUU
rnacentral:rRNA from 1 species